rnacentral:misc_RNA from 1 species
UGCUUCUAAUCCUAUUAUUCGAUGGGGUUAACAGCCAUAAAUCUCAAAAUUCUCCAACAGCAUUUUCACAAAACUCCAAUAACAAUAAAUUAUUCUUCUUUUUCUUCUUCUAUUCACUGCAUCGAAAAAAAAUAUCAUGCUUCAUGGAGUCUGGGAUCUUGAAUCCCUUCUUCUGAUCCAAUUGUUCAAUGAUUUCGAGGGAUUCAAGAAUGAUUUCAGAGGAAACGGAGCCGUCGGCAAUUUCGUCCUGGAUUGCGCGGAGAGCGAGUGUCUUCUUCAAGCGUGGAGUUGCCAAAAUGGGGAUAUGGGUAUUUGUGAGAAUCCUGUUGAGAACAAGUUUAGAGACUGAGUCUUGCCGAGCUAGGAACUCGAUGAUCCAUAGAACGAUGUCUGGGUCCAUUUCUUCAGAGUCCAUUGUCCGGGUAGAGCUGCCUCUGAAAGAACAGUUUUUUGCGAUUUAUAGGUUUUUCCUUGUUUGGGGGAAAACGAAAGGGAAUGAAGGAAAGCGAAUUCCUUCUGCUAAACAUUUGAAAAUCAUUGGCUGAUUUUAUGGAAAGUUUUCGCCCAAUAUGCAUACACCAAAUCCAUCAGAAUUAGGGUUAAUUCUACGUCAAUCUAAUCUCUCAAUUUAUU